rnacentral:rRNA from 1 species
GGGAACGUAUUCACCCCAGCAUGCUGAUCUGGGAUUACUAGCGAUUCCAACUUCAUGCAGUCGAGUUGCAGACUGCAAUCCGAACUGAGACCGGCUUUAUGGGAUUCGCUUACUCUCACGAGCUUGCAGCCCUUUGUACCGGCCAUUGUAGCGUGUUUGCAGCCCUGGACAUAAGGGGCAUGAUGACUUGACGUCGUCCCCACCUUCCUCCGAGUUGACCCCGGCAGUCUCCUACGAGUCCCCACCAUUACGUGCUGGCAACAUAGAAUAAGGGUUGCGCUCGUUGCGGGACUUAACCCAACAUCUCACGACACGAGCUGACGACAGCCAUGCAACACCUGUGGCCAGGCCCCUUGCGGGGAACCGGCGUUUCCGCCGGGAUCCUGGUCAUGUCAAGCCC